UACGUAGGGGGCAAGCGUUUGUCCGGAAUCAUUGGGCGUAAAGCGCGCGUAGGCGGCCCGGUAAGUCCGUUGUGAAAGUCAAAGGCUCAACCUUUGAAUGCCGAUGGAUACUGCCGGGCUAGAGUCCGGAAGAGGCGAGUGGAAUUCCUGGUGUAGCGGUGGAAUGCGCAGAUAUCAGGAGGAACACCGAUAGCGAAGGCAGCUCGCUGGGACGGUACUGACGCUGAGGCGCGAAAGCGUGGGGAGCGAACAGG
rnacentral:rRNA from 1 species